CAGAGUUUUAGGCCUGGGAGAGGUUUUAGACAGGACUGGGUGCUUCUAAGCAGGACUGGGGUGGAUUUUAGCUGGGAUUUGGGACCUUUUAGAACCGGUGAAGAUUAAGUCAGGACUGAGGGACUUUUAGGCCUGGGAGAGGUUUUAGGUGGGACUGAGUGAGGUUUUAGAAGUGGUGAAGGUUUUAGGCUGAACUGAGGGGCUUUUAGGCCAGACUGUGGGAGGUUUUAGGCGGGACUGGGACAGGUUCUAGGCCAGACUGGGACAGGUUCUAGGCCAGACUGUGGGAGGUUUUAGGCCAGACUGGGACAGGUUUUAGGCUGGAUUUGGGACCUUUCAGAACCAAUGAAGCUUUAAGCCAGGACUGGGGCACGUUUAGGCCCGGGAGAGAUUUCAGGCCGGACUAAGCCUGGCUCAACCUCCUGCUCCACUGGCAGGGAAAUGUUCCCCCGGGAUGUUUUCCCCGGAAUUUUUCCCCUGGAAUGUUUUCCUUGGGAUGUUUUUCCACUGGAACGUUUUUUAUGGGAUGUUUUUCCACUGGAAUGUUUUUUAUGGGAUGUUUUUCCACUGGAAUGUUUUUUAUGGGAUGUUUUUCCACUGGAAUGUUUUUUUAUGGGAUGUUUUUCCACUGGAAUGUUUUUUAUGGAAUGCUUUCCCCCCGGGAUGUUUUCCCUCUGUUUCUACCUCUUGUGCCUUCAUUAAA